rnacentral:rRNA from 1 species
GACGUAGGGUCCAAGCGUUGUCCGGAUUUACUGGGCGUAAAGAGCGCGUAGGCGGUCUGUUAAGUGUAGAGUGAAAUCUCCAGGGCUCAACCCGGAAACUGCUCUGCAUACUGGCAGACUGGAGUGAUGCAGAGGUUUGUGGAAUUCCUGGUGUAGCGGUGAAAUGCGUUGAUAUCAGGAGGAACACCCAUGGCGAAGGCAGCAAACUGGGCAUUAACUGACGCUGAGGCGCGAAAGCGUGGGUAGCAAACAGG